rnacentral:rRNA from 1 species
GAAGGGCCCUUUAGUACGAGAGGAACGAGGGCUCGGNGCCACUAGUNUACCAGUUGUCUGACAAGGCAANGCUGGGUAGCCACGCNCUANNNGGAUAAGAGCUGAAAGCAUCUAAGCUCGAAGCCACCCCAAAAACGAGACA